rnacentral:rRNA from 1 species
UACGAAGGGGGCUAGCGUUGUUCGGAAUUACUGGGCGUAAAGCGCGCGCAGGCGGUUUUUCAAGUCAGUGGUGAAAGCCCGGAGCUCAACUCCGGAAAUGCCAUUGAAACUGUUAAACUUGAGGAUGAGAGAGGUGAGUGGAAUUCCCAGUGUAGAGGUGAAAUUCGUAGAUAUUGGGAAGAACACCGGUGGCGAAGGCGGCUCACUGGCUCAUUACUGACGCUCAGGCGCGACAGCGUGGGAUCAAACAGG